rnacentral:rRNA from 1 species
UUACGGGAGGCAGCAGUAAGGGAUAUUGCGCAAUGGGCGAAAGCCUGACGCAGCAACGCCGCGUGGAGGAUGACGGCCUUCGGGUUGUAAACUCCUUUUGCCCCGGACGAGGAAGGACGGUACGGGGGGAAGCAGUCACGGCUAACUACGUGCCAGCAGCCGCGGUAAAACGUAGGUGGCGAGCGUUAUCCGGAUUUACUGGGCGUAAAGCGUGUGCAGGCGGGUUGUCAAGUGGUGUAUGAAAUCGCCCGGCUUAACCGGGCGAGGUUAGGCCAGACUGGCAGCCUGGAGUACGGGAGAGGGGCGUGGAAUUCCGGGUGUAGUGGUGAAAUGCGUAGAGAUCCGGAGGAACCCCAGCGGCGAAGGCGGCGCCCUGGCCCGUAACUGACGCUCAGACACGACAGCAUGGGGAGCGAACGGGAUUAGAUACCCCAGUAGUC